GUGAGGAAUAUUGCGCAAUGGAGGCAACUCUGACGCAGCCAUGCCGCGUGCAGGAAGAAGGCGCUACGCGUUGUAAACUGCUUUUAACCGGGAAGAAACCCCAGGACGUGUCCUGGGUUGACGGUACCGGAGGAAUAAGCACCGGCUAACUUCGUGCCAGCAGCCGCGGUAAUACGAAGGGUGCAAGCGUUAUCAGGAUUCAUUGGGUUUAAAGGGUGCGUAGGCGGAGCGUUAAGUCAGUGGUGAAAUCCUGCAGCGUAACUGUAGACUUGCCAGUGAUACUGGCGCUCUUGAGUGCGCUUGAAGUGGGCGGAAUGUGCCGUGUAGCGGUGAAAUGCUUAGAUAUGGCACAGAACACCAAUUGCGAAGGCAGCUCACUAAGGCGAUACUGACGCUGAGGCACGAAAGCGUGGGGAUCGAACAGGAUUAGAUACCCAAGUAGUCC
rnacentral:rRNA from 1 species